rnacentral:rRNA from 1 species
UCGAGAAUCUUCGGCAAUGGGCGAAAGCCUGACCGAGCGAUGCCGCGUGCGGGAUGAAGGCCUUCGGGUUGUAAACCGCUGUCGUAGGGGAGAAAGGGUCGUUGAAGAAACGACUUUGAUCUAUCCUAGGAGGAAGUCCGGGCUAAGUUCGUGCCAGCAGCCGCGGUAACACGAACCGGACAAACGUUAUUCGGAAUUACUGGGCUUAAAGGGUGCGUAGGCGGUGCGGUAAGUGCGGUGUGAAAUCCCACGGCUCAACCGUGGAAUUGCGCUGCAUACUGCCGUGCUAGAGGGAGACAGGGGUAAGCGGAACUGAUGGUGGAGCGGUGAAAUGCGUUGAUAUCAUCAGGAACACCGGUGGCGAAAGCGGCUUACUGGGUCUCUUCUGACGCUGAGGCGCGAAAGCCAGGGGAGCAAACGGGAUUAGAUACCCCUGUAGUCCCUGAGCGGGCUGGCAAGGCGCAU